rnacentral:rRNA from 1 species
UGGGGAAUAUUGCACAAUGGGGGAAACCCUGAUGCAGCGACGCCGCGUGAACGAAGAAGGUAUUCGUAUCGUAAAGUUCUGUCCUAUGGGAAGAUAAUGACAGUACCAUAGAAGAAAGCUCCGGCUAAAUACGUGCCAGCAGCCGCGAUAAUACGUAUGGAGCGAGCGUUGUCCGGAAUUAUUGGGCGUAAAGGGUACGCAGGCGGUUUAAUAAGUCGAAUGUUAAAGAUCGGGGCUCAACCCCGCAAAGCAUUGGAAACUGAUAAACUUGAGUAGUGGAGAGGAAAGUGGAAUUCCUAGUGUAGUGGUGAAAUACGUAGAUAUUAGGAGGAAUACCAGUAGCGAAGGCGACUUUCUGGACACAAACUGACGCUGAGGUACGAAAGCGUGGGGAGCAAACAGG